GACGAACGCUGGCGGCGUGCUUAACACAUGCAAGUCGAACGGAAAGGCCCUGCUUUUGUGGGGUGCUCGAGUGGCGAACGGGUGAGUAACACGUGAGUAACCUGCCCUUGACUUUGGGAUAACUUCAGGAAACUGGGGCUAAUACCGGAUAAGAGCUCCUGCUGCAUGGUGGGGGUUGGAAAGUUUCGGCGGUUGGGGAUGGACUCGCGGCUUAUCAGCUUGUUGGUGGGGUAGUGGCUUACCAAGGCUUUGACGGGUAGCCGGCCUGAGAGGGUGACCGGCCACAUUGGGACUGAGAUACGGCCCAGACUCCUACGGGAGGCAGCAGUGGGGAAUAUUGCACAAUGGGCGGAAGCCUGAUGCAGCAACGCCGCGUGCGGGAUGACGGCCUUCGGGUUGUAAACCGCUUUCGCCUGUGACGAAGCGUGAGUGACGGUAAUGGGUAAAGAAGCACCGGAUAACUACGUG
rnacentral:rRNA from 1 species